rnacentral:lncRNA from 1 species
GAAUAAUGAAUAUGUCAUUGCAUAAAAAACUUAGAAAACAUAUUUUAUGGUUUAUAAUGAUCAUAUCCUACUGAAACAUAAUUACCUCAUGUAAAAAAUAUUUGUGUUGUAGACAAAAAAUAUUAAGAAUAUGUUAGAAAGAUAAUUUGUCUAUUCCUUCUCUUCAUUUUCCAGGCUAUAUGGUGUGCACUGGAUAAACGAAUGAAGCUAAGUAGAGCCCUAGCAUUUUUGCUUAACCAGUGGUUCUCUCUUAUUUACUAUGAAAACUCUCCUUGAUUUAAUAGUAAUUAAUAUCUUUUCACAUGUUGCUAAUUUUGGUGAUACGCUACUGCCCUGUUGCUAACUGCUUCAGUCUUUAGAUGUGAAAAUUACAGGGUGUGUUAAUGAUUAAUUUGGCUAAUUUUGCAACCAAAGAAAUUAAUUUAUCACUAACAUGAAUACUCAAUAAUAUACCAACGAUAACAGUUGAUAUAAGUGAUAAUAAUUUAUGUCAUUUAAUCAAAUAAUUCGUAGUUUGAAUCGUGGUUAACCCUCGGAUAUAGAAUAAUUAAAUUUGUAUCUCAAAGAUAUUCAAGUAAUAUUCUGUAGAAUCAAGAUUGAUUCGGAUUUUUAGUUUCCAAUUAAAUUUGUAUCUCAAGGAUGUGAUGUUAUGCAUUCUUGCUCAGCCAUUGUCCAAGCUAUUCAUGCAGUUCAUGAUCAUGAGGGACACAUAUCCAAGGAAUCACAUCUUUUGUGAGGCCAACUAAGUGAUGCAAUCCUUCCUAGAAAGCAAUUAGUCACAAGAACCAUGAACAAGAGGCUCCAAGAGGAUUGGGCUAGAGCUGUUGAAGAAGGUCUUAUGGUUCUCAUGAAUCUUAGGAUAGAUUUUUGAGCCCAUGGGUCAAGGUUGGGUCCAUUUGUCUUUGUAAAUAUUAGAAUAGGUUUUCCUUCUUUUGCGCCUUGUAUUUUAGUCAUUCUAGUAGUAUAGGGUUUUAGCCGUGUAUUUCAGGGCAUUUUGAGUAGUCUUUAUAGUAGGGACUUUUUUGUAUUUUCAUGUAUUUUGGCAUGGGGGUGAGCUUAGCUAUUAGAGAGGUGUGUGUAGCUAAGCUCUAGCUUCUCAAGGAAGCUUCUCAAGGAGGUGAGCUUAGCUAUUAGAGGAGUGUGUGUACAAGUUCUAGCUUUUCAAGGAAGUUUCUCAAGGAAGCUUCUCAAAGAAGCUUUCAUUUAGUUAGUGACCCCCCCCUCUCUCUUUCUCAUUCUUCUCCUCCAUUGUUGUUUCUUCAUUUUUCUCCAUGUAUCUCCUCACAUGUCUUGUGCUAAAUGUUGUUAACAUGAUUCUUUAGAAUUUCCACCGAUUAAACUUUCUAUAGAAGCUAGAUUUAAUUUUCAAUGGUUCAAAUUUCUUGUUCUUGUUCUUGAACCAUGAAUUGUGUUGAGUUUAGGUUCCUUUGAGUUUUAUUUUUCUAUUUUUGUGGCUGAAACCUAAACCAUAAAAUUCUUACAAAAACAUUAAAAUAAAACCUCAAAAAUCUAGAGUGACUUUGUUCACCUAUUGUAGUUUUGUCAUAGAAGUCAUGUCAAGUCAUGAAACUUGUCACAUAAGAUUCCUUAUGUUGUGCUGAAUUUUAUUUUUCUUAUUUUUUUUUUGUCUAACUCAUUUGUUCAUGAGUGUAUGAAAUUC